GACGGAGGGUGCAAGCGUUACCCGGAAUUACUGGGCGUAAAGGGCGUGUAGGCUGUUCUGUAAGUCGGGUGCUAAAGACCACGGCUCAACCCUGGGUUUGCCUUGGAAACUGGAAAGCUCGACGGCUGUAGGGGGCAGCGGAAUUUCAGGAGGAGCGGUGAAAUGCGCUGAUACCGGAAGGAACGCCGGUGGCGAAGGCGGCUGACUGGGCCGUGCGUGACGCUGAGGCGCGAAAGCGUAGGGAGCAAACGGG
rnacentral:rRNA from 1 species